rnacentral:lncRNA from 1 species
AAUUUACAUCUCUUUCUUGGAGUCGAUGUCUUACAUCACCUCGUUGUAGAUUCUGGGAUCAUCUUUAUGUUCUCUAUCUCCCAUGAGAAAUGACUUUCUCUACAUCCUCUGUUAAGUAUACCCAAGUACCUUUCGAGGAAAUUGGAGAUCCUACUAUAUGUUUGAGGUGGAAGAGGAAUAUCUACUGGCUCAUGAUGAAUAGGUUCUUAAGGUCCCA